UACAGGGGGCUCGAGCGUUAGUCGGAAUCACUGGGCUUAAAGGGUGCGUAGGCGGUCCAUCAAGUGUUCUGUGAAAUCCCCGAGCUCAACUCGGGAACUGCAGGGCAAACUGAAGGACUUGAAGCAGGUAGGGGCUGGAAGAACAGUUGGUGGAGCGGUGAAAUGCGUAGAUAUCAACUGGAAUGCCGAUGGGGAAGCCGUCCAGCUGGGCCUGUCUUGACGCUGAGGCACGAAAGCGUGGGGAGCAAACAGG
rnacentral:rRNA from 1 species